rnacentral:rRNA from 1 species
CAUGACUGGGGUGAAGUCGUAACAAGGUAGCGCUAGGGGAACCUGGCGCUGGAUCACCUCCUUACACGAAGAU